ACUGGAAGGUUGGCAUCUUCUGUAAUCGUGCAUCUGCGAGGUCGGAUUGUGAGGAUGGUCUGAGGUUGGGGCUCCUGCGUGACGGAGUUCUUCAUGUUGACGGAACGUCCGCGCUAAGCUCUCCGUUAAUAUGGGUGCCUUGGAGGAGUUCGAGGCAUUCAGGUUGACUAAGGAGGGAUGGAAAGGGCCAGGGGUGAAAACCAGCAGCCAAGAGUUCCCGCGGUAGGCAGUAGCGGGAUAGCGUCCCGGAGUGGAGUGCCGUCGCCAGCCCAGCCAAUAUGAUUGUACCACAAUCUUU
rfam:Glossina palpalis gambiensis isolate 146720 unplaced genomic scaffold Scaffold1063, whole genome shotgun sequence.